AUAUAUAUAUAUAUGUAGACCCUCUUGUACUCAUAAAUUUUUAACCGUUGAUUGAUGGGAUGUGUGGUUAAAAUGAUGGUGGUCUCCACUUAAAAUGAUAGUCGUCCCCUAGGGUUGAGUGGGUAGUUGGUUAAAUAGUAUGUUCUAACGGAUCAAAAAAAUUAAUAGAAUAAAUCUCAGGGCCGAAAACUUAUGAGUAUAAAGGAGCCCAUACUCAUAAA
rnacentral:lncRNA from 1 species